ensembl:lncRNA
UUUUUUUUUUUUUUUUUGAGAACAAUAGAUUGCUGUUAUAAGUGACAGAAAAUUGUAGUUAUCACUCAGAUUUUCCUAUUUGGUGAUUUCUAUUGAUUCAUGGCUCCCUUAAAAAGAGGUAACCAAAGUAAAGGAAUAGAAACUAACAUUCAAAAUAUCUGUAAAGAUAAGUCUUGGCAAUAUUUUUUGGAUUUGUCACCUCAAGCAAGGGACAUAAAAGAAACAAUAAACAAACGUGACCUAAUUAAACUUAAAAGGUUUUGCACAGCAAAGGAAAUCAUUAGCAAAAUGAAAAAAACCUACUGAGUGGGAGAAGAUAUUAGCCAAUGAUAUGGCUGAUAAGGGGUUAAUAUCCAACAUAUAAAAAGAGGUCAUACAACUCAAUAUCAACAACAACAACAAAAAGCAAGUGACCUAAUUAAAAAUGUACAGAAGACAUCAACAGAUGUUCCUGAAAACACAUAUGGCCAACAGGUACAUGAAAAGAUGCUCAAUGUCGCAAAGAAUUGAAGAAGUGCUAAUCAAUACCACAAUGAGCUAUCACCUCAUAUAUGUUGAAAUGGUUAUCAUCCAAAGGACAGCAAAUAAAUGUUGACAACACUGCGGAGAGAAGGAAACUCUAGUACACUGUUGGUGGAAAUAUAAAUUGGUGAAGCCACUAAUACGGACAACAGUACAGAGGUCCCUCAAAAACCUAAACAUAGAACUACCACAUGAUCCAGCAAUUCCAUUCCUAGAUAUACAUCUGAAGAAAACAAAAAUACUAAUUAGAAAAGAUCCAUGCAGCCAAAUCAAUGUUCAUAGUAGCACUAUUUACAAUACCCAAGAUAUGGAAACAAACUAAGUGGCCAUUAAUAGACAAAUGGAUAAAGAAGGUCACACAUACACACACACACACCCCAAAGAGGAUUAUUUCUCAGCCAUAAAAAAGAAUGAAAUAUUUGCCAUUUGCAGCAACCCGGAUGGAUCUAGAGGUUAUUGCUCUUAGUGAAAUAAGACAAAUACUAUGUUUCCACUUAUAUGUAGAAUCUGAAAAAUAAAAGAAAUGAAUGGAUAUUUUUUAAAAAUCUGUAAAAUACCAAAAGCAUAUUAACCACAUCUCUUUGAAGCCUCUGAAAGAGAAUUAUGGUCCAGCUUGGGUGGAGGGCAUUGUUGGCUGGACCUCCCUCCAGAUACCACAUGUUUGGGAUGGAGAACAGGACAAGAUAGUACGGGCAGCAUGGCCCCUCCCAGAUGCACCCACCAACUCCAUCCACCCCAACCAGCUCUGAAGCAUCAGGUUCAAACAGAAAGAAAACCAUGGCCAAUGGGACCACUGUUGCGGGGGCAGGGGGGGUGGUGAUAUCAUUUAGAGGACUCUCAGAAUUCAGGGGAAAAAAACCAAGAGGGUGGGAUUUCUUAGAGAAUAGAUGGAUAUAAAGCCAAAAAAGUAUGAAUACAAAUUCUUUUACUGUAACCUGCUCUGGUCACUAUCACUGAAAACAAAGUACCCCAACCUACUGGUCAGAACCUCCAUCUUCUAGUAAUUCUCCAAAAUGGCAAAUAAAAAGACAAGGGUACCUGCCAUACAACUGCAAGGCCUUUGGGAAACUAUUAAAUUAUUCCCUUGGCCACAUAUAUGUGAACCCACAAGAAGGUUAUACUGCAGACAUGAGGGGAGCGGCACUACUCAAAAGGAACAGCCACAUUAUCACCAUGGCAAAACCACAAGGAUCAGCAGUGGGGCCCAGUGUGCUGUUGGCAUGGUCGUAAACAAACUUAAGGGCAAGAUGUUCAUUUUCUUAAAUGAACAUACAUAUCGAAAACAUUACACACUCCAAGAGCCGACAUAACUUCCUAAAAUGUGUGUGGCAGGGGGGAAUACCCAGAAAAAGGAGGACACCGAAGAGAAAAGACACAUUCCUGGGUUCAGCUAAAGCAUCAACUCACUCAACCCAGAGAAACACAUUCCAUGAAAAACAGUAGAGAGGUGCUUCAGCUGCUGGGAUCCAGGCCCUAUAAAUUCAUGGCAAAUUAGGUUUUAAAAAAAUUAAAGAAUUUUGGAUUGUAAAAUAAUAACCCCCAAACUAUAUUGGCUUAAAAGAGCAUCAGUCAUUUUAUUAGUAUCUAUUUAUUAAUAAUCAUUUUAUUAUUAUUACCAUAAAGGUCUCCAUAGGUCAGGAUUUUGGAGAUGACUAGACUGGUGGUUCUGGCUUCUGAUCCAUUAUGCAGGUGCAAUCAUCCUGAAGGAGGAGCUGGGACAGAGCAGGUGGGGCCAGAGCAGUGCGGACUAGCUGGGCACCUGUUUCUCUUCUAGUCUCAGACCUUCUUCAUGUGGCCCCAGCUGGCAAACUAGCUUGCAUUUCCUCCUAGAGAGGCAGCCUCAGGGCAGGCUAUGGCUUCUGUGGCAGGUCAAAUCUUCACGAGCAAAUAUUCCAGGAAGAAAGGUACAAGCCCCUUCACCUUUUGUGCCUUAGCCUCAGAAGUCAUUCAGUGACAAUGACUUGGUACACACCAGCAACCAGGUACAAGACAAGGGGAUUUAGAGUCCCUCUAGGCAGAGAGUAGUGAGGCUGUAAAAGAGCCCAGGGAAUGGGAACUACUGGCUCCCACCUUGGAAAAUACAAUCGGCUGCAGGGCAUUACAAAUCAAAUCACAGUGGCAGAGAUAUUUGCGUGGUGAAUAAAUGAACCAUGAGACGCAUUCCAACAAUGUUUUCAAUAACUCCCCUUCUCCCUCUUACUUUCCUCUUUUCUUCUAUCAUAUUAUAUAGUUGGUGCUAUCCAGGGCAUAGCCGAUAACAGAUUUCCUGACUCACCUUUUAUCUAGCAUCUGUGGCUUCCCUUCUUCCUCCAACAAUCUAAGUCCCUGGAGUCCCACAAAACCUCAGGUUUUGUGCUUGUUCCCUCUACUCCCUACUCUAUACUAUGUCCUUGGAAAUUUCAUCUGCAUUUUCCUUCCCAUGGCUUUAAAUAUCAUUUUACACAGCUGACACCAAAAUCUAUAUUACUAGCUUUAACCUUUCUCCAAAGCCCAAGAUACAUAUUUCAAACUCAAUAUUAAAUAUUUUAACUAAAGGUCCCAGCAAUUUUUAGCAUUCAAUAUACUCACCCCAAUAUGGUCCUUCUUCUGACUUUCCUUUUGUAUCAAGGUCACCAUUACUUCAAUAAUUCAGAAGUAGAUACUCU